CCGCAUCACACGGUCGAAAGAGUCAUCACUAGCAAAUCAUCAUCGUCCACACUCCUAUCCUCACUCUCACGUAACAUCCUAUUAAUUUCUUUCCCGCAUCACACGGCCGAAAGAGUCAUCACUAGCAAAUCAUCAUCGUCCACACUCCUAUCCUCACUCUCACGUAACAUCCUAUUAAAUCCAUGGUUCCUCGCUCAACACAUCCCUCAUCACCCCAAAUUUUACAAGCAGAGGAAAAACAACACCAUCCACAUACAAUGCAACACAUAAUAAUAAAUAACAUACAAUACCAUACACUACAAACACAAGAUAAUUCUAGCCACUCCCCUUACCUUACAUACACAAGAUAAUUCUAGAUUACUCCCCUUACCCUACAUACACAAGAUAAUUCUAGUCACUCCCCUUACCUGGUCACGUAAUAUUUUUGUUUCCAAGAUCACGAAGAAAGCUUCAUAACUUCACAACUUCUUGGCUCUAUUUUCUCUUAGAAAACGUCUUUUCUCUCCCUUAUAUUUCUAAUUUUCGUUUUUUCCUCUUAGGGUACCAAAAUGCCAACCCCUUUUUAUUCUUCUCCUUUUUAUUCUCUUUUUUUCUAUCUCUAUCUUUUUAAUAUUUAUAAAAUCUCUCAGUUUAUAUCUAAAACCACUAAGAUUUCUUCUUUUAUUCUCUCUUAACUACAUUUUUAAAAUAUCAUCAACCACCAAAUCUUUUUAAAAUCUACAAUAUCUAAUAAUGUUUUUCUCUAAUAAUAAUAAUUCUUUUAAUCUUUAAACCCACCAUAUUAUAUCUCAUAUUUUCAUUUAACUAAUUUUUAAAAUAACAAUAACUAAAUCUUCUAAAAGAUUUACAUAAUAUUAUUUUAUUAAAUAUCUAGAUUAUCUUAAUUUGCAUACUUUUCCUUUCUACACCCUC
rnacentral:lncRNA from 1 species